UACAGAGGUCUCAAGCGUUGUUCGGAUUCAUUGGGCGUAAAGGGUGUGUAGGUGGCGCGCUAAGUCGGGUGUGAAAUUUCGGAGCUUAACUCCGAAACUGCAUUCGAUACUGGCGUGCUUGAGGACUGGAGAGGAGACUGGAAUUCAUGGUGUAGCAGUGAAAUGCGUAGAGAUCAUGAGGAAGACCAGUGGCGAAGGCGGGUCUCUGGACAGUUCCUGACACUGAGAUACGAAGGCCAGGGGAGCAAACGGG
rnacentral:rRNA from 1 species